GGCCGCCUGGCGAAAUGGCAUCGCGUCUGACUACGACUUGCGUUUACGUAAUUUGGCAUCAGGAGAUUGCAGGUUCGAGACCUGCGGCGGUCA